rnacentral:rRNA from 1 species
ACUCGAGUGGCGAACGGGUGAGUAACACGUGGGUGAUCUGCCCUGCACUUCGGGAUAAGCCUGGGAAACUGGGUCUAAUACCGGAUAGGAGCCAUUUUUAGUGUGAUGGUUGGAAAGUUUUUUCGGUGUAGGAUGGGCUCGCGGCCUAUCAGCUUGUUGGUGGGGUAAUGGCCUACCAAGGCGGCGACGGGUAGCCGGCCUGAGAGGGUGGACGGCCACAUUGGGACUGAGAUACGGCCCAG